GGUCAAGAAUCUCAAAUGGACCAACAAACCUUGGAUUGAGCUUUCCUCUCUUUCCAAAUCUUGUAACUCCAUUCCAUGGAGAAACACAUAACAAUACAUGAUCUCCAAUAUUAAACUCCACGUCCUUUCUAUGAAGAUCAGCAUAACUCUUUUGUCGAUCUUGUGAAGUUUGAAUACGUUGUCGAAUCAUUUGGAUCUUUUCU
rnacentral:lncRNA from 1 species